GGACCCGGGGGCGGUACCCGGCGACUCCACCAUUCCACCCGCUCAUUUCGGGGGUUAGGGGUCGAAAUAGGAUCGACGAACGUCUAAAGAGGCCAGCUUUUGCUCGGUGAGGUACCACCGUUAUCGGUCCGAAACGUACAGUUGCAAAUGACAACCGUGCUCCGAUGGCAAUGGCCGCGUAAGCGACCGGAACUAUCGAAAACUAAGUCCUUUCGCUUAGCAGCGUAAGGCGGGGCCCGCAGGAGCCUGGCAACAGAAUCCUGCACU
rnacentral:tmRNA from 1 species